rnacentral:rRNA from 1 species
GACGAACGCUGGCGGCGUGCUUAACACAUGCAAGUCGAACGAAGAGCGAUGGAAGCUUGCUUCUAUCAAUCUUAGUGGCGAACGGGUGAGUAACGCGUAAUCAACCUGCCCUUCAGAGGGGGACAACAGUUGGAAACGACUGCUAAUACCGCAUACGAUCUAAUCUCGGCAUCGAGGAUAGAUGAAAGGUGGCCUCUACGUGUAAGCUAUCACUGAAGGAGGGGAUUGCGUCUGAUUAGCUAGUUGGAGGGGUAACGGCCCACCAAGGCGAUGAUCAGUAGCCGGUCUGAGAGGAUGAACGGCCACAUUGGGACUGAGACACGGCCCAGACUCCUACGGGAGGCAGCAGUGGGGAAUCUUCCGCAAUGGACGAAAGUCUGACGGAGCAACGCCGCGUGAGUGAUGACGGCCUUCGGGUUGUAAAGCUCUGUUAAUCGGGACGAAAGGCCUUCUUGCGAAUAGUGAGAAGGAUUGACGGUACCGGAAUAGAAAGCCACGGCUAACUACGUG